CAGUAGCCGCGGGAAUACGGAGGGUGCGAGCGUUAAUCGGAAUUACUGGGCGUAAAGCGUACGCAGGCGGUCUGUUAAGUCAGAUGUGAAAUCCCCGGGCUUAACCCGGGAACUGCAUUUGAAACUGGCAGGCUAGAGUCUCGUAGAGGGGGGUAGAAUUCCAGGUGUAGCGGUGAAAUGCGUAGAGAUCUGGAGGAAUACCGGUGGCGAAGGCGGCCCCCUGGACGAAGACUGACGCUCAGGUACGAAAGCGUGGGGAGCAAACAGGAUUAGAUACCCCUGUAGUCCCUGUCUCUUAUAC
rnacentral:rRNA from 1 species